GCCUGGGUGGCUUAGUUGGUUAAGUGUCUGACUUUGGCUCAAGUCAUGAUCUCACAGUUUGUUGGUUCAAGCCCGGCAUCAGGCU
rnacentral:tRNA from 1 species